rnacentral:rRNA from 1 species
AGUGAACGCUGGCGGUAGGCCUAACACAUGCAAGUCGAACGGCAGCACAGUAAGAGCUUGCUCUUACGGGUGGCGAGUGGCGGACGGGUGAGGAAUACAUCGGAAUCUACUUUUUCGUGGGGGAUAACGUAGGGAAACUUACGCUAAUACCGCAUACGACCUACGGGUGAAAGCAGGGGAUCUUCGGACCUUGCUCGAUUGAAUGAGCCGAUGUCGGAUUAGCUAGUUGGCGGGGUAACGGCCCACCAAGGCGACGCUCCGUAGCUGGUCUGAGAGGAUGAUCAGCCACACUGGAACUGAGACACGGUCCAGACUCCUACGGGAGGCAGCAGUGGGGAAUAUUGGACAAUGGGCGCAAGCCUGAUCCAGCCAUACCGCGUGGGUGAAGAAGGCCUUCGGGUUGUAAAGCCCUUUUGUUGGGAAAGAAAAGCAGCAGGUUAAUACCCCGCUGUUCUGACGGUACCCAAAGAAUAAGCACCGGCUAACUUCGUG